ACAUGUUUAUUAACAUUGUUGUAAAAUUUCAUCUCGUUUGGAGCAUUUUGAAAUUUUUGAAAUUUUUGCUGUUUCCAUGGUAACAGUUACCAUUUCCAAAAUUCCAAAGACAGGUGCCACAUUGGUACAUGCCAUGUUAUAUAUCUAUAAAGUUUCAUUGGCAUUGAUGCUAUAUUCUUCAAGAAAAUGUAGCUUUUAUGUGUUUUCCCAUACGGUCAAUGUUAAACUUUCGCCCUGUUUCCAUGACAAUGGCGGCCAUUUUGGAACCUCUUGAUAUUGCAUGCACAUCUAGGCAUAUCAGGUAACACUUCCACAAAGUUUCAUCCACUUGGGUCUUAUAAUGAAGAAUUUAGAAUUUUGAAAUUUUUCACAUUUUUGCAGUUUCCAUGGAAACGGCAGCCAUCUUGAACCAUUCCAUGGUGCCUGCAAC
rnacentral:lncRNA from 1 species